UACGUAGGGGGCAAGCGUUGUCCGGAUUUAUUGGGCGUAAAGAGCGUGUAGGCGGCUUUACAGGUCCGUUGUGAAAACUCGAGGCUCAACCUCGAGACGCCGGUGGAAACCGUAAAGCUAGAGUCCGGAAGAGGAGAGUGGAAUUCCUGGUGUAGCGGUGAAAUGCGCAGAUAUCAGGAAGAACACCCGUGGCGAAGGCGGCUCUCUGGGACGGUACUGACGCUGAGACGCGAAAGCGUGGGGAGCGAACAG
rnacentral:rRNA from 1 species